rnacentral:rRNA from 1 species
UUCGUAGGCGGUGCGGCAAGUUGGGAGUGAAAUCUCUGGGCUUAACCCAGAGGCUGCUUCCAAAACUGCUGUGCUUGAGUGUGGGAGAGGCGCGUGGAAUUGCAGGUGUAGCGGUGAAAUGCGUAGGUAUCUGCAGGAACACCCGUGGCGAAAGCGGCGCGCUGGACCACAACUGACGCUGAGGAACGAAAGCUAGGGGAGCAAACAGGAUUAGAUACCCUGGUAGUCCUAGCCCUAAACGAUCAGGACUUGGGGUGCCGCCCGUUCGGGCGUCGUCCCGGAGCUAACGCGUUAAGUCCUGCACCUGGGGAGUACGGUCGCAAGACUGAA